rnacentral:rRNA from 1 species
UACGGAGGGGGCUAGCGUUGUUCGGAAUCACUGGGCGUAAAGCGCACGUAGGCGGCUUGUUAAGUCAGAGGUGAAAGCCCACGACUCAAUCGUGGAACUGCCUUUGAGACUGCUUCGCUUGAAGAUGGGAGUGGUUAGUGGAAUUCCGAGUGUAGAGGUGAAAUUCGUAGAUAUUCGGAAGAACACCAGUGGCGAAGGCGGCUAACUGGACCAUUACUGACGCUGAGGUGCGAAAGCGUGGGGAGCAAACAGG